rnacentral:rRNA from 1 species
UGCAGAAUUCCGCGAAUCAUCGAGUCUUUGAACGCAAGUUGCGCCCGAGGCUCGUCCGAGGGCAUGCCUGCCUGAGCGUCAU